GAUGAACGCUGGCGGCGUGCCUAAUACAUGCAAGUCGAGCGAACAGACGAGGAGCUUGCUCCGCUGACGUUAGCGGCGGACGGGUGAGUAACACGUGGAUAACCUACCUAUAAGACUGGGAUCACUUCGGGAAACCGGAGCUAAUACCGGAUAAUAUAUUGAACCGCAUGGUUCAAUAGUGAAAGACGGUUUUUCUGGCACGUAUAGAUGGAUCUCGGCCGCAUUAGGUAGUUGGUAAGGUAAAGGCUUAGCAAGGCAACGAUGCGUAGCCGAAGUGAUAGGGUGGUCGCCGACAUUGGAGCUGGGACAGGGUCAUGACGACUGCGAUAGGCAGCAGUCGGGUAUCGUAGGCAGUAGGCGAGAGUCUUGCGGAGCAGGGCGGAGCGUGAGGUAACGGUCUCCGGAGCGUGAUACCGUCUUAUGAGUGGAAAACAACUGUGUAAGUAGCUAUGCACGUCUUGACGGUACCUGGUAAGAAAGCAACGGCUAACUACGUG
rnacentral:rRNA from 1 species